rnacentral:rRNA from 2 species
AGAACCCACCCGGCCAGGCAUGUUGAGAACUUACCAAAGAUGGUUUGGUUCCUUUGGGAACUCACAAACAGGUGGUUAUGGCGGUGGUCAUCUCGUGUCUUGGGAUUUUGGGUUAAGUCCCCCAAAGAGGGCAACCCCUAUCCCUUGUUGCCACCCGGUAAAGCCGGGCACUCAAGGGAGACUGCCGGUGAUAAACCGGAGGAAGGUGGGGAUGACGUCAAGUCAUCAUGCCCCCACGGCCAGGGCUACACACGUGUUACAAUGGUGUGUACAGAGGGAAGCCACCUCGCGAGAGCGAGCGAAUCCCAAAAAACCCGUCGCAGUUCGGAUUGCAGUCUGCAACUCGCCUCCAUGAAGCUCGGAAUCGCUAGUAAUCGCAGAUCAGCAGCGUCGCAUCGUA